rnacentral:rRNA from 1 species
AGCGAACGUUAGCGGCGGGCUUAACACAUGCAAGUCGAGCGAGAAAGGGACUUCGGUCCUGAGUAAAGCGGCGGACGGGUGAGUAACACGUAGGUAAUCUUCCUUCGAGCGGGGGACAACGGUCCGAAAGGACCGCUAAUACCGCAUACGUUUCCGAGGGCCCCGGCCUUUGGAAGGAAAGCUAGGUCGCAAGAUCCGGCACUCGAUGAGGAGCCUGCGUAGCAUCAGCUAGUUGGUGGGGUAAUGGCCUACCAAGGCGAAGACGCUUAGCUGGUCUGAGAGGAUGAUCAGCCACACUGGGACUGAGACACGGCCCAGACUCCUACGGGAGGCAG